UACGAAGGGGGCUAGCGUUGCUCGGAAUCACUGGGCGUAAAGCGCACGUAGGCGGCUUUCUAAGUCAGGGGUGAAAUCCUGGAGCUCAACUCCAGAACUGCCUUUGAUACUGGAGAGCUUGAGUCCGGGAGAGGUGAGUGGAACUCCGAGUGUAGAGGUGAAAUUCGUAGAUAUUCGGAAGAACACCAGUGGCGAAGGCG
rnacentral:rRNA from 1 species